rnacentral:lncRNA from 10 species
GUGAAUAGGGCUGGCCAGCUCCCCAUCCCAGCCUCACCCAGGAGCUUUCAGAAGGCUGAGGUGCUCUCAGGUCUGCACCCCCUCCAGCCUGGGGUGUCAGCAAUCCUGGAGAAGGGACACCUAAGCUGAAACCUCAAGGUUUCGCAUCUGCACAAGGCUGGCCUCCUGCAGGCAACCCUUCAAGGCUGCCCUUUCCUGGGUCAUCGUAUGUUCAGCGUGAGAGAUGCCAUUCCAAAGGUUCAGAGCCGUGUGGCCUGUGGACUUGGGGGUGGGGGACACACCCCCUCCUUCCCUCAACCUCCCUCCCACCGCCUGCUGCCAAGGGCCGCCAAGAGAAAUGUGGGCAAACCACACGGACCACCCCAGGCCUCCCAAGGGCACUUGGGGGUGAUGCCAGCCCCAGGAAGGAGUCCUCAAUAAAGAUCCAAGGUGCUAACAAGAAGAUGUCAAUCCAUUAACUCCACUUGAAGGGAAGAAAAAAAAUGUCAAUUACUGGUAAUGUGAAACAAAAGAGUGGGAAAUCGCAAAUGACAGUCUUUUUAAGACGGCCCUAGGGCCACUUCCAGCUGACCCUGUGCAUUAACCAAGCAGGGAGAUUUUUUUCCUUGGCUGCUCCCUCCUGCGUCCCUAAUAGCAUAAAAUAAAAAGAUUUUAGAUAAGAUUUCAU